rnacentral:pre_miRNA from 1 species
AUAUGAUUACCUUGGGAUCUUGUUUCAAUGCAGAUUCUGAUUCAAGAGGGAUGUCACUGAGAGUCUGCAUUUCUAACAAGUUCCCAGGUGAUGCCAAU